rnacentral:rRNA from 1 species
UACGGAGGAUGCGAGCGUUAUCCGGAUUUAUUGGGUUUAAAGGGAGUGUAGGCGGCCUUUUAAGUUAUAUGUGAAAGCCCCCGGCUUAACCGAGGAACUGCAUAUAAAACUGGAGGGCUGGAGUGCAGGAGAGGUAAGCGGAAUUUCUAGUGUAGCGGUGGAAUGCGUAGAUAUUAGGAAGAACACCGGAGGCGAAGGCGGCUUACUGGACUGUAACUGACGCUGAGGCUCGAAAGCGUGGGGAGCAAACAGG